CCCAACUAUCCCUAUUAAUCAUUACAUCGAUCCUAGAAACCAACAAAAUAGAAUCGGAUGUCCUAUUUCAUUAUUCCAUGCUAAUGUAUUCAAGCGUGAGCCUGCUUUAAACACUCUAAUUUUUUCAAGGUAACAGUCCUAAUUCCCCGUGACACCAAAUUAAUGGCAUUACGGUUCUUUAGAAGGUGAGAAAUCAAUAAUAUCAGUACAUACCAACGGCAUGACCGAAACAUUGAUCCCGAAAUUCAACUACGAGCUUUACCUUGAAAAAAUUAGAGUGCUCAAAGCGGGCUCGUACGCUUGAAUACAUUAGCAUGGAAUAAUGAAAUAGGACGACGGUUCUAUUUUGUUGGUUUCCGGGACAGUCGUAAUGAUUAAUAGGGAUAGUUGGGCAAUCUGUUGGU
rnacentral:misc_RNA from 1 species